rnacentral:rRNA from 1 species
GGGGAAUAUUGCACAAUGGGGGAAACCCUGAUGCAGCGACGCCGCGUGGAGGAAGAAGGUCUUCGGAUUGUAAACUCCUGUUGUUGAGGAAGAUAAUGACGGUACUCAACAAGGAAGUGACGGCUAACUACGUGCCAGCAGCCGCGGUAAAACGUAGGUCACAAGCGUUGUCCGGAAUUACUGGGUGUAAAGGGAGCGCAGGCGGGAAGACAAGUUGGAAGUGAAAUCUAUGGGCUCAACCCAUAAACUGCUUUCAAAACUGUUUUUCUUGAGUAGUGCAGAGGUAGGCGGAAUUCCCGGUGUAGCGGUGGAAUGCGUAGAUAUCGGGAGGAACACCAGUGGCGAAGGCGGCCUACUGGGCACCAACUGACGCUGAGGCUCGAAAGUGUGGGUAGCAAACAGGAUUAGAUACCCUGGUAGUCCACACCGUAAACGAUGAUUACUAGGUGUUGGAGGAUUGACCCCUUCAGUGCCGCAGUUAACACAAUAAGUAAUCCACCUGGGGAGUACGACCGCAAGGUUGAAACUCAAAGGAAUUGACGGGGGCCCGCACAAGCAGUGGAGUAUGUGGUUUAAUUCGACGCAACGCGAAGAACCUUACCAAGUCUUGACAUCCUGCGACGAUGCUGGAAACAGUAUUUUCCUUCGGGACGCAGAGACAGGUGGUGCAUGGUUGUCGUCAGCUCGUGUCGUGAGAUGUUGGGUUAAGUCCCGCAACGAGCGCAACCCUUACUGUCAGUUACUACGCCAGAGGACUCUGGCAGGACUGCCGUUGACAAAACGGAGGAAGGUGGGGAUGACGUCAAAUCAUCAUGCCCUUUAUGACUUGGGCUACACACGUACUACAAUGGCGUUAAACAAAGAGAAGCAAGACCGCGAGGUGGAGCAAAACUCAGAAACAACGUCCCAGUUCGGACUGCAGGCUGCAACUCGCCUGCACGAAGUCGGAAUUGCUAGUAAUCGUGGAUCAGCAUGCCACGGUGAAUACGUUCCCG